AACCUUAGUGGAGACACUUUGGGCUCUUCGGAGCGUAGGACACAGGUGCUGCAUGGCUGUCGUCAGCUCGUGUCGUGAGAUGUUGGGUUAAGUCCCGCAACGAGCGCAACCCUGCCUUAGUUGCCAUCAUUUAGUUGGGCACUCUAAAGGGACUGCCAGUGAUAAGCUGGAGGAAGGUGGGGAUGACGUCAAGUCCUCAUGGCCCUUACGGGCUGGGCUACACACGUGCUACAAUGGUGGUGACAGUGGGCAGCGAACAUGCGAGUGUAAGCUAAUCUCCAAAAGCCAUCUCAGUUCGGAUUGCACUCUGCAACUCGAGUGCAUGAAGUUGGAAUCGCUAGUAAUCGCGGAUCAGAAUGCCGCGGUGAAUACGUUCCCGGGCCUUGUACACACCGCCCGUCACACCAUGGGAGUUGGUUUUACCCGAAGGCGCUGUGCUAACCGCAAGGAGGCAGGCGACCACGGUAGGGUCAGCGACUGGGGUGAAGUCGUAACAAGGUAAGCGUAGUGCU
rnacentral:rRNA from 1 species